rnacentral:rRNA from 1 species
UACGUAGGGGGCAAGCGUUGUCCGGAAUCAUUGGGCGUAAAGAGCGUGUAGGCGGCCAGAUAAGUCCGCUGUGAAAUCUCGAGGCUCAACUUCGAGCUGUCAGUGGAUACUGCCGGGCUAGAGUCCGGAAGAGGCGAGUGGAACUCCUGGUGUAGCGGUGGAAUGCGCAGAUAUCAGGAAGAACACCAACGGCGAAGGCAGCUCGCUGGGACGGUACUGACGCUGAGACGCGAAAGCGUGGGGAGCGAACAGG